AGCAAUCUGCCUUGGAGUGGGGAAUAACGGUUGGAAACAGCCGCUAAUACCGCAUGAUACAGCUAUCCCGCAUGGGGUUGGCUGUCAAAGAUUUAUCGCUCUGAGAUGAGCUCGCGUCUGAUUAGCUUGUUGGCGGGGUAACGGCCCACCAAGGCAACGAUCAGUAGCCGGACUGAGAGGUUGGCCGGCCACAUUGGGACUGAGACACGGCCCAGACUCCUACGGAAGGCAGCAG
rnacentral:rRNA from 1 species